rnacentral:rRNA from 1 species
AGCUUGCUAAAUGGACUCAUGGCGGACGGGUGAGUAACGCGUAAAGAACUUGCCCUUUAUACUGGGAUAACAGAGGGAAACUUCUGAUAAUACUGGAUAAGUUAGUAUAUCGCAUGAUAUGCAAAUGAAAGCUACGGCACUAAAGGAGAGCUUUGCGUCCUAUUAGCUAGUUGGUAAGGUAAGAGCUUACCAAGGCGAUGAUAGGUAGCCGGCCUGAGAGGGUGGACGGCCACAAGGGGACUGAGAUACGGCCCUUACUCCUACGGGAGGCAGCAGUGGGGAAUAUUGGACAAUGGAGGGAACUCUGAUCCAGCAAUUCUGUGUGUGUGAAGAAGGUUUUAGGACUGUAAAACACUUUUAGUAGGGAAGAAAAAAAUGACGGUACCUACAGAAGAAGCAACGGCUAAAUACGUGCCAGCAGCCGCGGUAAUACGUAUGUUGCGAGCGUUAUCCGGAAUUAUUGGGCUUAAAGGGCAUCUAGGCGGUAAGACAAGUUGAAGGUGAAAACCUGUGGCUCAACCAUAGGCUUGCCUACAAAACUGUUGAACUAGAGUACUGGAAAGGUGGGUGGAACUACACGAGUAGAGGUGAAAUUCGUAGAUAUGUGUAGGAAUGCCGAUGAUGAAGAUAACUCACUGGACAG